rnacentral:lncRNA from 1 species
AUUAAAAAGUCCCAAACAAUAGAUAGUAGAACACAGCAACUAAAAUUCAAACUCAGUAGAAAAAAACACUCCUGGGAAAUUAACAUCAAUGCCAUUUGAGUCGGGUCUCAGAUUGCUGGAAUAGUAGAUUGUACUUAGAAAGAAAUGAGGCAUUUAGAAUAAUCAAGCAAUCAUUCAGUAACGAUGGGCGUUUAUACUCAAAAGCAGAUCCUGACAGACUACAAGUACUUGAUUAGAAAGGAAGGACAGGACUGGAGAUCUUCAAUAAGGAAGCACUGUGAAUUGAAUGAUGUUUUCUAGAAAUAACAUCUCUUGUUUCUGCAAGGCAUUGCCAGGUUUCUCUUUCAGCUGCAUCUGGAACAUCUUAUUCAGGUUAGGAUGCAUGGACAACAAGAAAAAUAGUCAAAUUGCUUGGAAUUCAG